GGAGUAUAACCACUCUUUCUUUGUCCUGCGUCUGAAGCAAGAAAAAGCCCCCUCAGCAGCAGAAGCAGCAGCCCAAAGAAAUGCUUUAUUUUCAGAGGAAAUGGCGCAUUCGCGUGAAAAAAAUAAUAAACCACCAUUUUCCUGUGAGGCAACAAACGCUCCCCUCCCCCCGCCACCAUCAAAUCCUCCAUUGUCCCUUUCUUUUGACACUAGAGAUAGGAGGUGAGUAGGAAAGUUUUUGAGGAGGGGGAAAAUGGCGGGGGAAGAAGAGCGCAGUGGAGGAAGGAGGAGGAGCUGGAGGAGAAGGAAGGGGAAAGAAGGGCUGUUUGGACGGCUUCUUCUCCCAAAACGCCCUCGCGGCACAUUCCAGACGAGAGAGAGGGAGGGACGGACUGACUGACUGACUGACUGACUGCUGGGCUUGCAUUUAUGACACACACGCAAAGGGAAGGAAAGGAAAUUCAUCACAGCCUAUGAACAGUUCCAAAAAGUGGCAGUGGUCAAACUGGGAUCUAUUCAGGAAUUAUUUCACUCAUCUUUAGUUAUCUGAGGUUAUUGAUAAUCUGCUGUUCCAGAGAGUCAUCAAAAUAAUUCUCAAGGAUGCAGCUGGCUUUGGUUCCUCAUUCUCAUCUGUGAACAAAUUUAAUUGUUUUUCUUGUGGAAUGUGAGAAGCUUGACCCUGAACAAAUGUUUCUCUGCAAUCAGCUCAGGUGAAAAAGCCCUGUUACCCAGGGAACCAUGGUUAUUUAUUUAUGAGCAUGCAUGACACCAACAUUUUGAUGACCAUGAUGCAAGGAAGCAGGCAGAUAUCCUCAGGGUAAAACUGUCCAGGACUGCUGUGGGAAAUGAACACAGACUGGAAUAAUAUCAAUCAAACUAAUUGCCCAAUAAGGUGACCACUAUCAACAUUAUAUCUAUGUAAAGCAGGGCCAGAAGACUUGUACAAUAUGGGAUGUUUGCAAAACUUCUUGUGAGAGUCUAAUCUGAUGGUGUAGUGGCAAAGAGCUGUGGGAAGGAUAGAACAACAACUGAGUCUUUAUGUUCAAACUAGUACUUAAAUCCUAGUCAAAGGCAUCUUCAAGGACCACAAACAGGAAGUUGUCCUGGUUCAGCUAUGAACAGAAUGUGAGAGCCAUACACACCACAGUCUGUCAGUGAUAAGCCUCUAUUAGUGUAUAUACCGUGCUGUUCUGCGGUGGGAAGAUUCCUGGCUUGCAUGAAUUUACUUUGUUUUUUUCCACCACAAUGCUGAGAUCCACUAACCCUCGCCUGGUCCAAAAGACACAAACCUAGAAUUAAAUGACACUGAGCUCAGGAAUUUGUUUUGAGUACUAAAGAAGAACAGAGCUCACAGCCACUGGACACAAAAAUGUUAUGCUCCCCCCAUUCCCUCAUUUCAACAGUAUAGUUGGUUGAGUUGAAGAAGGCACACAGUCAUAUUUUUGCUGCUAUUGUUAGAGGUGGAAGUGAGAAAUCCUUGAUAGCUGCAAAGCAUCCAGAGAUCUCCCCUGGAUCCAGCUCAAUUUCCUGCCCACACUCCUUAAUAUAGUGUCCUAAACACAGAUUGCUUUUGGGGGUUCCAUUUUUCAGCUCCAAAUGUAUCUCUCUCCAGGGACACCUAAUUUGCAUCCUGUGAGCUGAGCUUUGUUUCUGGGUAAAGGCAUGACUACGCCUGCAUUCUUGAUGUUUUUAAAACAAUCAGUUCACUGUCCUCUUUUUUAAAGCUUGGAAAUUACUGGGACUUGAUUGCUGACAUUAGUUUUUUUUUCUUGCAUGAUUUGAAUAGAAACAUAAAGGCAGCCUUCUGCAACAAAGUCUAAAAAGAAUGUGGUGCAAUAUGGUGCUGCUGUUGUAUGAUACAAUCCAAUCUACUUUCACUUUGUUGUAAAACUACUAAAAUUAAACAUGUGGAAAAAGGAAGGAAUCAUCAGGCACUCCCCUUAUCCCUGCUUCUAAACUCUGAGAAUAUUCCUUUUGACAUAUGUACAGCAGCAAGGACUCUUGUAGUAAUAUAUGUAGUGUGCCAAAAACCCACCAUCUUUGUUCAUACCUCUACUAAUAGGUUGGAAUUUGUGAAUAUAAUUUAGUUCAGCUGUUGUUCUAGACUAGCUUUGUAAUUUUCUUUUUUGAGGAUCACAACAUAUAGAUCCCUUGCCAUAUGUUAAAAAAUGUUGAAAUCCUCUGUGGUGUAUUUUUGGAAUUACUAUUACUAAUGUCAGAUUUGUGAUCAUUAAUUAUUUUCUAUAGAAACUCUUUUGUCUUUCCAAUCUACAACAUAGAGGGGCUUUUCAGAGGGGCUUCCUACAAUAGAUCAAAAAUAAGUAUUUACCCUCUAGCAAUCAUCAGUAGACAACAGCAUAGAGGAUUAUGUGUACACAAAUAAACAGCAUAAAAAGGGAUGCUAAAUUGCUCAGUACACAAUCACAUGGAUGCUCCGAAGUGUGUAUUAAGUAGAGGGACAGCAAGAAACUGAUGAAAGCCAAAGAUGUAGGAAGAGCAAGUACAGUAAAUUAUCUCUGCUGUUGUGGGUAGUAUUAUUGGUCCCUGUAAUACUGCUCGCAGAGUAGAUGGGGGGGACAGAGCUGGCAUAUGAAUAUGUGGCAGAGUCUUGUUCCUAUGGAGGCCGGUGGCAAAGUGCGUUAAAGCGCUGAGCUGCUGAACUUGCAGACCGAAAGAUCCCAGGUUCAAACUCCGUGAGCAGCCACUGUUAGCUCCAGCUCCUGCCAACCUAGCAGUUCAAAAACAUGCCAAUGUGAGUAGAUCAAUAGGUACCGCUCUGGUGGGAAGGUAACGGCGCUCCAUGCAGUCAUGCCGGCCACAUGACCUUGGAGGUAUGUACGGACAACGCCGGCUCUUCGGCUUAGAAAUGGAGAUAAGCAUCAACCCCCAGAGUCAGACAUGACUGGACUUAAUGUCAGGGGAAACUUUUGCCUUUACUUUGUUCCUAUAUCUAGACCUGCACUAUCUGUGGCCCUCUAGAUAUUUGGGACUCCAGCUCCCAGAAAUCCUAGCCAGCUUGUUCAAUGAUCAGGAAUUCUGGGAGGUGAAAUCCAAAACACCUGGAGAGCCACAGGUUGUGCAGGUCUCCUAUAUACCACCCAUGGUAUAUGUAUAGCUGUUGUCGAAAAUCCAUGCCCCUACCCUCAAAAUAAAAAGUCCCAAGGAUGGGAUCUGUGGUUAUCCAAAGGACAUGGGUAGACAACUCGGUGGUGGCGCUCCUCUGUCCUCAUAACACUCACACACCAGCAGCAGCACCCAAAUGCCCAUCUUGCCACACACUUAUCAGGGCUCCAGUCAUCAGAUUUAACAAAGGAUACAAUGUGGAUACACCAUUAUGGCUCCUGCUUCCUUGUAGCAGCUACAUUCCCUGUCUGUCUCUUUGUUUCCAUUUCUUUCUUGGCAAACGGACACGGAUCUGUCAGAAAUCAAGGAACCAACUCCAUAACUCUCUGCCUCUAUAAAAGCAGCCAUCUCCCUCCUUUCCAACUCCUCACUGCUCCCCGCUCUCGUGAUUAUAUUUAUAUUUUAUCUUUAUUUUUAUUUGCACAGAUCUUUCUGAAGGUAAGCCAGAGGGACUUCAGUUUGACUCUUUCAACCCCCCAAGGUUGGAACAACAUUCCAAGAACACCUUGAUCUAUGGGAAAAUUGCUGGCCCUAUACAUGUAAAUACCAACAGUGGCGAUUUCCCCACAGACAUCAGGUGUGACCUGUCUCACAAAAGGGACAUGAUUGCUGAAUUAACAUCUGGAGCCCCCCCCUUUUUUUUUUUUUUUUUUUUGCUGUCUAGGAACAGGGACUGGACAAUCAAAAUUCAUUGUGCCAGAUUCUUGGGACUUGGGCAACCUCACUUAAUCCCUUGUCACAUCAAUUGUUUUAGAAAUUCCAUUCCAAGCACCCAAAAAGGUGCAGCCAUCAAGGAUCCUCUCCACCACCAGAGAUGCCUCCACUUGCUGUUUGGCCUCCUCAGGCCACUGGAAACCAACCAACUUGGAAUCCCUCGCCCCAACGCAAGAGCCCCUGCCAAUCAACAUGCAUUCAGAGCAAGCCCCUCAGCCAAUAGACACUGGUUGGCUUUUAGGCCCUGGACCAAUUGGGAGUGAGGGAGGGAAGAUUGAAUGGGGCAAUGCAAGUGAAUGUACUGUAUUAAAAGGCCUGUUUUUGACCCUGUGUUUAUACUUGUACCCUUUAGCAUCUUAUUGCUGUACAUAGUAUUAAAAACUCCAAGAUUAUGGCAA